UUCGGAGGGGGCUAGCGUUAUUCGGAAUUACUGGGCGUAAAGCGCACGUAGGCGGCUUUGUAAGUCAGAGGUGAAAGCCUGGAGCUCAACUCCAGAACUGCCUUUGAGACUGCAUCGCUUGAAUCCAGGAGAGGUGAGUGGAAUUCCGAGUGUAGAGGUGAAAUUCGUAGAUAUUCGGAAGAACACCAGUGGCGAAGGCGGCUCACUGGACUGGUAUUGACGCUGAGGUGCGAAAGCGUGGGGAGCAAACAGG
rnacentral:rRNA from 1 species